UGUUUCCGCUGUUUUUGUUCAGAAACAUUUUGAGCGCUGUAGUAAAAAAAAACCAUUGUCCGGCGAUAAUUUAAUAAUAAGCAAGUAAACAUCGGCUCAUGCAAACAAAGCUUCCAAGGAAAUGUCCCGUGGGUAAAAGCUUUGGUGGAAUUUCAUCCGGACCCACUCAGAGGUGGUCGCUUCACUUGGAUGACUUUUAAUUAUUUUUUGGCGUGAUACUUAAAAGUGGAAAGCAAGAUUCGAAUUUUGAAAAUGUUUGAUUGAUUGCAUUUGAAUAUCCUCUGAACCGAUCAUUUUCAUCGGUUAAGGUCGCGGUACACCUCAGGUGAAAAUGAAAAAUCUUAUUUUGUCAAAAACUCAAAAAAGUGACACAUAUUGGCUUAGUAACAUGGUGGAAUCGUUGGGGAAUAGUUAAAAGCUGAAUUUCGAACCGGUCUCAGAGUUCCCCAGCAACACCCAGGCCAGCAUGCAAAAAUCUCUUGCGCUUGCAGUUCCAUGAUGUUAACGUAUGAAGUCGUAUGGGGUAUAUGGUCGACUUUGCCGGUCCAUCAUUUUAAUGCAAAAAAAACGCGCACAACAGAAGAAGAGAAAAUCAAACAUAAAACUGGCCCCGUUUCCGUUUGUGAAGCUGUUUUCAUUAGUGGUUGCACUAAGCAAUAGCUAAUGCCUUCUUCAGCAGUCUCGCCAAACUGGAAAAGCGGUGAACUUGACGGUAAUCCCGGUGGAUUAGAACAAAGUCUUCGUGAAUCCUCCACUUCCAGCCGACAUAAUGGGAAGUUCAACACCGUCACUCAACUAUUAGCUUAAAAGCAGCAAAAACUGUUGGUGUCAGCAGCAACUGCAACAGCAGUAUCAGCAUCGGUUUUUCACCUGCUGCGUCGUCGAAACCUUCGGUGGCCGGAUCCAAUUUCGGGUCGACUAUGCGAGACCGCGCCCCCACAAUCUGCAACAAUAGGCUGUGCUAAAUCCUAAGUUCAGACAAUAGGUACAAACAGUCUUACUCCCGUUCGAUGUGAUCAUAGAAUGAAAGCUACAGAUUUAGAGGAAUACUAGAGCUGAGAACGAGUUGCUGGGUAUGAGGACGAUAACAGCUAUUUUUUUAGUGAAGUGCAGCAGUUGUAAUUGGAUCCACUAGAUGCAACAUAAUAAAAGGGGCGCUAAGACGGACGAAUGCUGUGGUCCUGUGUGUAUUCAUUGUAUACCGUGGAUUCCUCGCAAUGCAUGUGAAGACGUUUUUGGCUCAGGAGAUUGCCAUCGAUGCCAGUAUCAAUCUGCAGGAUAAUUGCACAUAAAAAAGAAUCGUCCGUUCAACAUGACUUUUUUUAACUCAUCGCUUUUGGGAUUUCUACAAACAGCUAAAUCGGACGAUGUCGAUUCGAUGAUGGACGUAAAAGAGCGAAAGGUUACUUAUAAUGGUUUACCGAACUCUUUGACUCCGAAGUUUGUCCCAACCAAGCAGCUGUUGCUGAUGACUAUGAGUUCGAUUACGUAGCUUUGUAGAGAUUAGCUAAAGGAAUUCUAGUAAUUUGAUGACAGCUCCAGAUGAUGUUGAAGUAAAUAAAUAACGAUUUUCCACUUUCACUGACGAGUUGUUACCUUGUCGCGAUAGCGAUGCCACAGACACGGUCAGUGAAUGCAUUCGUCGAGAAAGUGGGUGAAACUAUAUUUGGGCCCAGUCAUAGCUUCCCUACCGAUCACCCACCGUACAAUUAAUAGCUCUGGUAUGGAUGUCCUUCACGUGCCUACAUCGUAGCCUCCACCGCUUGGUCGGUCCAGUGAAAAAGAUGCAUGCACUAUACUUUUGUCGGAAGAUGAAUCCCUCAAAAAGGGUUUUGGCACAAAAAACUAAACCCACAUUUCGAUUCGAUCACCCGGGAGUUUUUUUAGUUGCCAUAAGCAAUGAUACUAAUCUGCAGAAUGAUUCUGGUAGCCAUUUUUAUAGCCGUAACUUUUAACAUGCAACGUCAAAGAUGUAAAUGCGAGGAAAAUACAUUAAGAAAAAUUCAAUAAAAUAAAUUUGAAGAUGAUUUACCGUGAUUUACCAUCGAAAUAAACCUCCGGUGGUACAGAACAAGGUCAUCAACAAAAAAGCCCAGUAGCAACAGCAACAGAAGCAUCAAAGCUAGCCCAAAACUUUGAUUACGGAGGUGUUGAAAAACUAGUAUCUUGUCAACCAAUUUCGUAAAUUGAGUCUACCAUUUCCGAAAAUUUCGGAGGGUACGAAACCGCAGCUAGACCAAGUAUAUCAACUACUUCAAUCAAUAUUCCUCCGUAUUUUCUCGGAUAAUGAUGAAGUUGUGAAAAAAUCGGGAUCUCAACCUACUAGGAAAACAAGUUCGACUGCUACCACUGCAUGUGCUAUAACAACAAUUAGUGGUAUGAAUAAGGUUUAGCAAUUGCUUCGGUAGCUUUAACUUUGCUCGAAAUCAAGCAAAGCAAAAGCCCAAAGCAUUUGCUUAGUUUGGUAUGAAUAAACGUUUGCUUAGCAGAUGUGUACUAAAGUCUUAGAACAUAGCUUUUGCUUCGAAAAAAAGAGCUAUCCAACCAGCAGAAUCUGAAAUUUUUUAAAGUAAAAUAAAAGAAGACGAUCAAAAAAUUGAAAAGUACGGCUAAAAUAGCCAUGAAAUCGACGGUGCGGGUGAUGGGUGUAAGAACGAUCGGAAAAAAUUAAGUCAAUACAUGCUUGUAUGUUGAUGUUUAAAGAAAAUUGAAUAUUGUCAAACAAAAAAUGGCCUAGCUUUUUAACAUUUAUCAUAAGCUCUCCCACACGUUUUCGGAUCGGGAUAAUCCGAUAUAUAAAAAAAUAGGCAAUAGGCGCGCAUCUUAACUUAGAUGCUUUUUUUUAAUCUUUGAAUUAUAAAAA